rnacentral:rRNA from 1 species
UGGGGAAUAUUGCACAAUGGGCGCAAGCCUGAUGCAGCCAUGCCGCGUGUGUGAAGAAGGCCUUCGGGUUGUAAAGCACUUUCAGCGAGGAGGAAGGUGGUGAGCUUAAUACGCUCAUCAAUUGACGUUACUCGCAGAAGAAGCACCGGCUAACUCCGUGCCAGCAGCCGCGGUAAUACGGAGGGUGCAAGCGUUAAUCGGAAUUACUGGGCGUAAAGCGCACGCAGGCGGUUUGUUAAGUCAGAUGUGAAAUCCCCGGGCUCAACCUGGGAACUGCAUUUGAAACUGGCAAGCUAGAGUCUCGUAGAGGGGGGUAGAAUUCCAGGUGUAGCGGUGAAAUGCGUAGAGAUCUGGAGGAAUACCGGUGGCGAAGGCGGCCCCCUGGACGAAGACUGACGCUCAGGUGCGAAAGCGUGGGGCAGCAAACAGGAUUAGAUACCCUGGUAGUCCACGCUGUAAACGAUGUCGAUUUGGAGGUUGUGCCCUUGAGGCGUGGCUUCCGGAGCUAACGCGUUAAAUCGACCGCCUGGGGAGUACGGCCGCAAGGUUAAAACUAAAUGAAUUGACGGGGUCAUAGCUG